UCCUACGGGAGGCAGCAGUGGGGAAUAUUGGGCAAUGGGCGAAAGCCUGACCCAGCAACGCCGCGUGAAGGAAGAAGGUCUUCGGAUUGUAAACUUCUUUUAUGAGGGACGAAGGACGUGACGGUACCUCAUGAAUAAGCCACGGCUAACUACGUGCCAGCAGCCGCGGUAAUACGUAGGUGGCAAGCGUUAUCCGGAUUUACUGGGUGUAAAGGGCGCGUAGGCGGGGAUGCAAGUCAGAUGUGAAAUCUAUGGGCUUAACUCAUAAACUGCAUUUGAAACUGUAUCUCUUGAGUGCUGGAGAGGUAGACGGAAUUCCUUGUGUAGCGGUGAAAUGCGUAGAUAUAAGGAAGAACACCAGUGGCGAAGGCGGUCUACUGGACAGUAACUGACGCUGAGGCGCGAAAGCGUGGGGAGCAAACAGGAUUAGAUACCCUGGUAGUCC
rnacentral:rRNA from 1 species